rnacentral:rRNA from 1 species
UACGGAGGAUGCAAGCGUUAUCCGGAAUGAUUGGGCGUAAAGCGUCCGCAGGUGGCUGUGUAAGUCUGCUGUCAAAGAGCGAAGCUCAACUUCGAUAAAGGCAGUGGAAACUACACGGCUAGAGUGCGUUCGGGGCAGAGGGAAGUUCCUGGUGUAGCGGUGAAAUGCGCAGAUAUCAGGAGGAACACCGGUGGCGAAGGCGGGUCUCUGGGCCGA